GGGCGAUUAGCUCACCGGUAGAGCACUCCCUUCACACGGGAGGGGUAGCAGGUUCGAUCCCUGCAUCGCCCACCA
rnacentral:tRNA from 1 species